AUUGAACGCUGGCGGCAGGCCUAACACAUGCAAGUCGAACGGUAACAGAAAGCAGCUUGCUGCUUUGCUGACGAGUGGCGGACGGGUGAGUAAUGUCUGGGAAACUGCCUGAUGGAGGGGGAUAACUACUGGAAACGGUAGCUAAUACCGCAUAAUGUCGCAAGACCAAAGAGGGGGACCUUCGGGCCUCUUGCCAUCGGAUGUGCCCAGAUGGGAUUAGCUAGUAGGUGGGGUAAUGGCUCACCUAGGCGACGAUCCCUAGCUGGUCUGAGAGGAUGACCAGCCACACUGGAACUGAGACACGGUCCAGACUCCUACGGGAGGCAGCAGUGGGGAAUAUUGCACAAUGGGCGCAAGCCUGAUGCAGCCAUGCCGCGUGUAUGAAGAAGGCCUUCGGGUUGUAAAGUACUUUCAGCGAGGAGGAAGGUGUUGUGGUUAAUAACCACAGCAAUUGACGUUACUCGCAGAAGAAGCACCGGCUAACUCCGUGCCAGCCGCCGCCGUAA
rnacentral:rRNA from 1 species